AGGAACCAGAUCUAAUUAAAUUGUCAUUAGAGAUGCUAUCCUCCCCGCAAAUACAUUCUUUUGUUCUUUCCUGCACUCCAUCAUUACACCAAGAGUGAAUAAAAGAGGAGGGAAAGGCAAAAAUCUUUUGAGAACAUUUCCGGACUCGACACUCCAAAGCCGAGCCCUCUUCUACCUUCCAUUCACCCAGUCCCACUCGACAUCUUCUCGGACGCACCCUCACCGAUUCCGUCACCCCCUCACAGACUCCCUCUCCACACGGCGGCCCACUAUCCGUCCCAGGAUUUCUCUGAUAUCAGAGCCAUGGCCGCCACGUCUACUCAACUACCCUCGAAGCAAAGCGACGACGAGCGACGCGAUCGUGAACCCAGCGGACAAAAGGAAGAGUUGUUGGAGAGGUCACCCGAAGAGCGAGCCCAAUGUCACCUCGCCAGUAUCUCUGACGUCGCGGGCCGUUUCAGUGUCGAACGAAUGGUGCAGCAGCAGGUGGACCAUCAUGUUUUCCCAUGCUUGCGUGGGCUUCCACAACCCAACAGAGCCCUCGUUUUAUAGAGCGAAGGAGAAGAAGGGUGCAUGCGUGGAACUGAAGCCAGUGUAUCCGAGCAGAUGAUUGUGUUUCCUAAAGUUGGAGUCAAGAUAAGGCAGCA
rnacentral:lncRNA from 1 species